ACAGAAUUUUCAUAAGAAAAAACCUACAAACGAAUGUGUUUGCCUUUUGGGGAGUCCCCCUUCUCAACCUCCGGCUAAACAUUCAUACAGAUAUCAGCAGCUCCAUUGGAACCAAAAAGGAAGAAAGAAAGAUGAAUACUCCCACACUUAUUGUUGGACCUACUGGAUGGAAUCCCCCCCCCUAUUAUUCCCCUGUGCACAAAUUAAUCUCAUAAUUACAACUACAUCUACAUAUAUAUAUAUAGGCUUAGUGAACAAACUUAUUGUAUAUCCAGUAAAACUCGAAACGGCUUAUUAAAGAAAUACCUAAAGCUAUGUAUGUAUUGUAUAUCCUGUACGAUAAUAAAUAUUUUAAAACUUUA